UACGUAGGGGGCAAGCGUUGUCCGGAUUUAUUGGGCGUAAAGAGCGUGUAGGCGGCCAGACAGGUCCGUUGUGAAAACUCGAGGCUCAACCUCGAGACGCCGAUGGAAACCGUUUGGCUAGAGUCCGGAAGAGGAGAGUGGAAUUCCUGGUGUAGCGGUGAAAUGCGCAGAUAUCAGGAAGAACACCCGUGGCUAAGGCGGCUCUCUAGUACGGUACUGACGCUGAGACGCGAAAGCGUGGGGAGCGAACGGG
rnacentral:rRNA from 1 species